GAUGAACGCUGGCGGCGUGCUUAACACAUGCAAGUCGAACGAGAAAUGUAGACGGAAACCUUCGGGCGGAAGCCUUCAUUUCGAGUGGCGGCCGGGUGAGUAACGCGUGGGUAACCUGCCUCAUACAGGGGGAUAACAGUUGGAAACGACUGUUAAUACCGCAUAAGACCACAGCAUCGCAUGAUGCGGGGGUAAAAACUCCGGUGGUAUGAGAUGGACCCGCGUUCGAUUAGCCAGUUGGCGGGGUAACGGCCCACCAAAGCGACGAUCGAUAGCCGAUCUGAGAGGAUGACCGGCCACAUUGGGACUGAGACACGGCCCAAACUCCUACGGGAGGCAGCAGUGGGGAAUAUUGCACAAUGGGGGAAACCCUGAUGCAGCGACGCCGCGUGAGUGAAGAAGUACUUCGGUAUGUAAAGCUCUAUCAGCAGGGAAGAAAAUGACGGUACCUGAGUAAGAAGCCCCGGCUAACUACGUG
rnacentral:rRNA from 1 species